AUUGAACGCUGGCGGCAGGCCUAACACAUGCAAGUCGAACGAGCGGCGGACGGGUGAGUAAUGUCUGGGAAACUGCCCGAUGGAGGGGGAUAACUACUGGAAACGGUAGCUAAUACCGCAUACCAUCGGAUGUGCCCAUAUGGGAUUAGCUAGUAGGUGGGGUAAAGGCUCACCUAGGCGAUGAUCUCUAGCUGGUCUGAGAGGAUGAUCAGCAACACUGGAACUGAGACACGGGCCAGACUCCUACGGGAGGCAGCAGUGGGGAAUAUUGCACAAUGGGCGAAAGCCUGAUGCAGCAAUGCCGCGUGUAUGAAGAAGGCCUUCGGGUUGUAAAGUACUUUCAGCGGGGAGGCGUUACUCGCAGAGGAAGCACCGGCUAACUCCGUGCCAGGAGCCGCGGUAAUUC
rnacentral:rRNA from 1 species